CUUACAUCUUAAUCCUAUCUCCGCUGCAUUUCUUAUCUUUGUUCUGCUUCUGUUUAGUACCAAGCUCUUUGUUGUUCUUCUUCUCCAAGUUUUUCCUCGGUGCUCUUAUCUUUAGCCUUCUUAUAAAAUUUCUCGUUUAGCUUUAUUUUGUUUAGUGGUUCCGCUUUCUAUUCUACUUUUUCUUCUUCUGCAAAAAGAUAAGAUCUUUGGGAUUUUGGCUUGCUUAGCAAUCUUCUAACUGAGGUUGGGUUCUGAUUUGGUCUCUGUUUUUAUUAAUUUGUUUAUUUUAGAUUUCUUAUGUGACUUUUAAGUUCUCUUCAUUUAUUUUGAUUCUCUGAGCCACAGAAUUUUUAGAAUAGCCAUAAGCAAAAUCGGGGUAUCUUAUUUGAGAAUUAGUAGCAACGAGAUGAAUAUUGAGAGAUGAUGAAUGGAAAAAGUCGAAAUCCCUUAAACAACAUCGACAUGCGCUAAAUUUUGUGCAUGAUUGAAAAGAAUCAAAUUCAAAAGGGACUAAUAACUUCUGAACAAAAGAACAAACACGUUUGCUCGGCAAAAUCGAAAGCUGAGAUGAAACUUAGGCGGAGUUUAUGGAGAGAAAAUGGAAGAGAUUUGACAUGCUUAUGGGAUUCAUGAGAUGUGAAUAUUUAUCAUAGAGGUUGAACUUUCGUGUUUUUUUUUUAACUAUGUGGGAAAACAGUCAUUAUAUUUUGAUACUAUAUUUCAGCAAGUGUUUAUCAAAUAUCUAUCACUUUGGACUUAUAGAGUAAAAGUUCAAGCUUAACAGCUUGACUUAUCUGAUAUUUGGUUAUUGUGGAAUUUUGUUGCUUCUUUUA